rnacentral:lncRNA from 1 species
UUUGCUAUUAGGAAUUAGAGACUUACUAGACUAUGGGAAGAGCUUGGGGGUUGGAGGCAUGCAACUAAGGCCAGGAAAUCAUGAGGAGAGGAGCUGUUGCUGAAGAUCUCUACCUCCAGUAACAGCACAGGUGGUUUUCUGAAGCUUACCAGGAAGCUGCUGUAAGUCUUAAGAAUCCCUGGGAGUCUCCUGCUGUUGUAGGCUGCAGUAGUACCAGGAAACCAUUCUGAAUCUCAUUUGAUAAAGAAUCUUGCUGAAGUCAUUUCUAUAAGGUACAACUUCGCUUUCUCUUCCCUUUUUCAAGUCUUGAGCAACUUUAUGGGCAGCUCCACAGUUCAGGAAGAGGAUGGUAGGAAAAGAUCCUAAAAGGGAUGGUGGUUUUGCUCAGUUGAUAACAGGCAAUCUGUCACAAAGCUUGAUGAUAGAUGUAAAAAAAAAAGUCCAAAAGUUUAGUUAAAUAACCUAAUUGGUUUUAUUUGCCAUUUAUGAAUCAGGAAACAUCUAAAAAUAGAGAGGUUCUCCAUCAGACAUGGCAGAAUAGUUGUAGGGCAGCUUGAACAGGAAUAAGAAAGUAACAUAAUACAAAGAGUAGAUUGCUUAACAUCAGUUUACUGGUAAAGGUUAAAGUCAGAAUUUCCGUAUCAUGUUGGCUACAGAUGGCCUGUCUGGGGCUUUGGGUUUUCUCUCUCACAUUCCCCUGAUUUCUCAGAAGUUCUGAUAAACAAUUUAAUUUCACUUGGGCAAUGUGGAACUUUAGCACAAGUGAUUCCAUUUUGGUUUGGUUUGUUGGAAUUUAGUGAAGAGGCUCAGCUCAAAUAAGUGAUCUUUUAUAAAUUUUAUUUAACAUGCAUUAUGAGCUUCUAACCAGGUAGAGAAUAUAACUUACCCAUUGUUAUGUUCUCAGGGCCUAGUGCAGUUCCUGGAAAAGAUACUCAAUAAAUAUUAGGAAAUGACUGAGUAAGUCAAUGAGGAGAGGGCAAUAACUCCUGGAAACCCCAUGAUUUGGGUUGUGUUGUAAAUAAUGCCAUGAUAGAUCAAUGUCAUUCUCCAGAAGAGCCUUAUAUUUGUGAUUUAUGGUAGAGAUAAUGGUAAUUCAGGAUGAUAUCUUUGCCGGGCUGAUCAGAACUGUCACAUUUCUGAAAUUUAAAAUACUCAGUAGGAAGGAAGCUUUGAAAGUCAGGCACUGAAGCUGGUGAGACACCUUGGGCUAGAGUGUUAAACUAUAACACCUCUUUUCAACUUCAAGAGCUCAAGAAUUAUUUGCAUAUUGAGAUGCCACUAGGUGGUGCUCUUGCUUGUUUGUGUAGCUGGCCAUUGACUUCCAGACAAGGAGAUUGAUAAGGCAGUCACAAAUGUUACAAUUCUUUUAAAACAACUGAGCUGUCCCUCAAAUAAGAACUAUAACAUUGACUUACUUGAUAUUAGAUACACACAAUAUUUCAAGUAAGAAUUAAAGCAAACCUGAAGAUUAAAGAGCAAAUUAGAGCAUAACAUAAUGCUUUCACAAUCCGAGAGUUACAGUACAACUGGCACUAGAAUCUUGUUCUCUAAGUGUCCCCAGGGGCUCUUAUCCCCAAUUACCCUGUCCCCGCUUCCCAUGUGUGUGGGAUGAUUCAAAAGCUCACUGUCUUACUUUUGAAGUCUAUGGCGGAUUCACCCCACCCCCAGCCAGUGAGUAGGUUCUUAAAUUAGCUCAAAUUAUGGUUAAGAGUUGAACAUGAGAAAUAGAGGCAAAAUUGCUACAGCAUGACUAAAAUCCUUCUCUUUAAGGUCCAUAAAUUUCUUUUAAACCAAAGUAAAGCUCACUGGUGUCCCUAGUCCAGUUUUUGUAUUAGGCAUUAUUUUUUUUCCUUAUUUAUAUGGAAGGAUUCUUUAUAUAUUUAGGUUAUUAACUUUUACAAUAUGUUUCUAGUUUGUUGUCUUCUAUUUUUAUUGUAUUUUGGGGGGAGGUUAUGUAGAAUUUCACCUUUUAUUUACUCAAACCCUGUUUUCCUUUAAGGUUUCUGAUUUUAGCUCCUUUAUUUGGUAUCACUUAGCUAGAAGUAGAGGCAAGGAUGAGCAGUUUUAUGGCUCAUUACAAAUUAUCCUCUAGAAUUAGUUUUCUUUUCUAUCUUUAGUUUAGGAUUCUCCUAAAAAAUUCUUGAUCCUUACAAUAAUGAAAUUACUUAUUUCAUCCUUUUGUUCUUAGGGGGAAACUUUCCAAUGGGAGGGAGGGCAGCACUAUUUCCCUAGGGGCAAUUUUGAAGUCUAUGGAGGCAUACUUGACCGUCAUAAUUGAGAGAACCUACUGGCACUUAGUAGGUGGGGUGCAGGAAUAAUAAACAUCUUGUAAUAUACAGAAUGAGGAAUUGUUCCUCCUGAAUGCCAGUAUCAUCUCUGAUUGAGAAACACUGAGCUAGACUAUCAUCCACAGACAUCUUUAAAAAAAUACCAGCCUCGCAACAUUCUACCAAGAAUAUUUCCAUUUAAACCUUGAUGGUAGUGUAUGUUUUCCAGCAGUGUAUGUAUUAUAUAUGCAGACAUAAUGGAAUGGAACAUAUAAACCUUUGCUUUAACAGCAGAUUACAUAGGCUAGAGUUGAGUCUGGGCACUGGACAGAUACUCAGCUUAUGACUGGUUAUCAAUUUCACUUAUCAAGUACAUUAAAUUACUGAUUUCCAUGGAAAGUGUUACAGAGGGUGUUAAAAAUAAAUUAAUUGAAUCUGUCAACUAAGAACAGUUACAGUCUUAGUGAUUCUCCAAAAAUAUAAAACAAAAAUAUGUGCUGUUGGGGAUACAUCCAUUUCCCACCUUUAUCAGGCUUCCCAUUUCAUAUUUUCUAGUAAAGACUGCAAUCUCAGAGUUGUCAGUGCAGCUGCUUUUGCUCAAUAUUAUUUUUUUGAUUGCUGUGGGUGCUGUUUGUUCCAAUGCAAAUGUGUGGAGGGCAGGAAAUUACCAAGUCUGUUUUUAUCUGUGAGUACAUUGUUCCUGGAAAUAUAAUUAUUUUGUCCACUUGAAAUUGCCUUUGAUAGAAUGACAAAUUGGUAUAAACCAGAGGUGUUUUCUUGCCUGCAGAUGGCAGUGAUUAUUAACUUGUCAUUCUAAAUACAAGGUGUUGGUUUUACCCAGUUCUAAGGUGUUAUACUAAUGGCAGUGCUUAUUGUGUUCUAAUAGAAAUUAAUAAGAUUCAGACACCAUCUUUGGAGGGGAUACUGAAUUUAUAUUCUUAACAUGAUGCCAUUUACAAUAUUAAGUAACCAGACAUGGAACUCAAAAUUUAUUAAAUUAAUAUACUUCACCUGAUUAGUGAAAAAAGAGCUUAAAAACAACAUUUGAUUAUUGUGGCUAAACCCAAGUAAUGCAUCUUGGAAAAUAAGAUUCCAAAAUAUACUUCAGCUAUUAUAAACUUUGUGCUUUUAAGUUUUAGCUCCUGAACAACAUGUAGCUGUAAUGUUGAUUGUUCUUUGAAGACAACAGCAAAAUACAUUCUGGAAUGCAGACAACAAACAAUGCCAUCCAAAUGGAUGAAGUUGUCUAUCUGAAGUAGUACAAAUCAAAUCACAAACACCAUCUUCCUCUUAUAUAAGCUCUUGGAUAAUGUGUGCAGUUCUAAUAUCAUGAGGGUGAUAUGGUGGAACUGUGAAAUCUGGGAAGGAUCCUCUAAAAUGGCCAAGGGAAAUGAAUAAGAAUUAUGUGAGGGUGAACUUGGAAGAUGAGCCUUCCUCAGAACAAUAAAUGGAGAGUGGUAAGAAUCCCCCUCCCCUUCCUCCUUGGCCAUUGGGCAUUAUUUUACCUUGGGCAUAGAAAGAGGUGGGUUUUUUGUUGUUGUUGUUGUUUAUAAUUUGGAAAGCAGUAUGGAGAUUUCUUGGAAAGCUGGAAAUGGAACUACCAUUUGACCCAGCUAUUCCCCUUCUCGGUCUAUUCCCUAAAGACCUAAAAAGAGCAUGCUACAGGGACACUGCUACAUCGAUGUUCAUAGCAGCACAAUUCACAAUAGCAAGACUGUGGAACCAACCUAGAUGCCCU